AGUGAACGCUGGCGGUAGGCCUAACACAUGCAAGUCAAACGGCAGCACAGGAGAGCUUGCUCUCUGGGUGGCGAGUGGCGGACGGGUGAGGAAUACAUCGGAAUCUACUUUUUCGUGGGGGAUAACGUAGGGAAACUUACGCUAAUACCGCAUACGACCUACGGGUGAAAGCAGGGGACCUUCGGGCCUUGCGCGAUUGAAUGAGCCGAUGUCGGAUUAGCUAGUUGGCGGGGUAAAGGCCCACCAAGGCGACGAUCCGUAGCUGGUCUGAGAGGAUGAUCAGCCACACUGGAACUGAGACACGGGCCAGACUCCUACGGGAGGAAGCAGUGGGGAAUAUUGGACAAUGGGCGCAAGCCUGAUCCAGCCAUACCGCGUGGGUGAAGAAGGCCUUCGGGUUGUAAAGCCCUUUUGUUGGGAAAGAAAUCCAGCUGGCUAAUACCCGGUUGGGAUGACGGUACCCAAAGAAUAAGCACCGGCUAACUUCGUGCCAGCAGCCGCAGUAA
rnacentral:rRNA from 1 species